CUAGUUACCCGAACCUUCAAAAUUAAUUAAACUGUGAUAACUGUCGCGUAAAAUUUAUUUGUACAAUGUACGCGAUCAAGUGGAAUUUUAUAACUCACAGUAAGUACAUAAAAGAGUUGCACUAAGAGUUGUUAUAUUAGUCACAUUUGGUAUCAUUUUCUCUGAAAUUGUGGUAGAAAAAGUGCGUAGGUAGUAUAGAUUUCAUCACCCAAGUAAAAUAUACUGGAUAAAAUAAUAAUGAUAAUGUUAUCAAUUUUCACUUCGUCACUGGCUGUACUGCUGAUAUGCAGCUUCACUCCAUUCGUCGUGGCCGUCGAAACAAACAGAACCUUUCAUUAUACCUACGUAUUGACUGGUGUAAUUGAUGAUGUGCUUCUUUUAGAUAAACAUUCUACUUCGUUAGUUCCAGAAGAUACUGGAACAUUAUGUUACAUCGGCAUCGAUGCCGGCAAGUCCCCAGAAAAAGAUAAAGAAUGUUAUCACAAAAGUUACAGCAUGAAUUUAUGUAAAUUUGCCGAGAGAGUUCUCUUACAUAAGGACAAAGUUGAUCUCUAUGCCGUCCGUACGAUUGGCUCCAACAAAGUAGCUGGAAUUAAGUUUUCUGGUAAAACAUUUAGUUUUUGGAAUACCGAAAAACACCUUAAUAACGUUUGCAAGCCCGAAAAAUAACUUGUAAACUAAGCAAGUUAAUUUAUAGCCUCUAAUUAAGUAGAUGAUUUAUUGAAAACAUAAGAUGAUGAAAUAAACUUCAAUAAUGCCAUGAAGAAUUA